UAAAGCUGAAGGAGAGCGUUAGACUGAAGAUCUAAAGGUCCCUAGUUCGA
rnacentral:tRNA from 11 species